rnacentral:rRNA from 1 species
UACGUAGGGCGCAAGCGUUGUCCGGAAUUAUUGGGCGUAAAGAGCUCGUAGGUGGUUUGUCGCGUCUGGUGUGAAAACUUACCGCUUAACGGUGAGCUUGCAUUGGGUACGGGCAGACUAGAGUGCGGUAGGGGAGACUGGAAUUCCUGGUGUAGCGGUGGAAUGCGCAGAUAUCAGGAGGAACACCGAUGGCGAAGGCAGGUCUCUGGGCCGCAACUGACGCUGAGGAGCGAAAGCAUGGGGAGCGAAC